GACUCCUGAGAACCCUCUGGGAGCACAACCACCCCAGACCCCCUUUUUUCCCUCCUCCGGCCCAGUUCAGGGACAGGGGUCAGUUUGAAUUUCCAUCAGUGUUGCAACAGGGCGGGUGUCUGGCGGGAGUUAAUCCUGGAGCGGAGGGGGUGGUGGCACUAGAGCCGUCUGCGCUGCCGGGGGCCGGGGACUCUGCGACGCCUGCUCCUUCCCGGGGCUCCGAGAGCCAGCAGGUCGCGAGUGGGAGGGGUGGGGGAGUCACUGCUGUGACGCGGCCGCCUCUGCGGGAAAACGCCGUGUCCCGGCACUGCACCAGCCGCGGGGAAGGGGCCCCGGCGGCCGACGGGUCUCGGGCGCAGCGGAAAAAGCCCCCAGGAGAGACUAUCAAUCACAAGCAGAGGCUCUGUGUCUACACCCUGCCGGUGGCUGGCUGGGACAGGGGACCAGCUGUUGCCAGGAGGCCCACCCGCUGGUGCGUGGUAACCACUCUGCUGUCAGUCCCCAACCCACAUCAAGGAUGACCCCUUCCACUACUCUCCUUUUUCUUCCCACCACUUACCCACUCAAUUUCUCCCUCCCUCUCAGAAAUUGAGGUUCUUUUGCAAUAGUGAAAAUUGCCAUUAAUGCUCUCAUCUUCAUAAAGCAAAC
rnacentral:lncRNA from 1 species